AGUAACGCGUGAGGAACCUGCCUCAAAGAGGGGGACAACAGUUGGAAACGGCUGCUAAUACCGCAUAAGCCCACGGCUCGGCAUCGAGCAGAGGGAAAAGGAGCAAUCCGCUUUGAGAUGGCCUCGCGUCCGAUUAGCUAGCUGGUGAGGUAAUGGCCCACCAAGGCAACGAUCGGUAGCCGGACUGAGAGGUUGAACGGCCACAUUGGGACUGAGACACGGCCCAG
rnacentral:rRNA from 1 species